UACAGAGGGGGCAAGCGUUGUUCGGAAUUACUGGGCGUAAAGGGCGCGUAGGCGGCCUUCUAAGUCGAACGUGAAAUCCCCGGGCUCAACCCGGGAACUGCGUCCGAUACUGGAAGGCUUGAAUCCGGGAGAGGGAUGCGGAAUUCCAGGUGUAGCGGUGAAAUGCGUAGAUAUUGGGAGGAACACCAGUGGCGAAGGCGACUACCUGGCCUGUUCUUGACGCUGAGGCGCGAAAGCUAGGGGAGCAAACGGG
rnacentral:rRNA from 1 species